GAGGGUAUAGCUCAGUGGUAGAGUGCAUGCUUAGCAUGCAUGAGGUCCUGGAUUCAAUCCCCAGUACCUUCA
rnacentral:tRNA from 1 species